UACCAGGCACCCCGAGUGGUCGGGACGUUUUAUUGGGCCUAAAGCAUCCGUAGCCGGUUCUACAAGUCUUCCGUUAAAAUCCAACUGCUUAACAGGUGGGCUGCGGAAGAUACUAUAGAGCUAGGAGGCGGGAGAGGCAAGCGGUACUCGAUGGGUAGGGGUAAAAUCCGUUGAUCCAUUGAAGACCACCAGUGGCGAAGGCGGCUUGCCAGAACGCGCUCGACGGUGAGGGAUGAAAGCUGGGGGAGCAAACCGG
rnacentral:rRNA from 1 species